CCCGACUCCGUGAAGCUGGAUUCGCUAGUAAUCGCGCAUCAGCCAUGGCGCGGUGAAUACGUUCCCGGGCCUUGUACACACCGCCCGUCAAGCCAUGGGAGCCGGGGGUGCCUGAAGUUCGUGACCGCAAGGAGCGACCUAGGGCAAAACUGGUGACUGGGGCUAAGUCGUAACAAGGUACC
rnacentral:rRNA from 1 species